UUGUGAAGCAGAUGCUUCCAGUGGCCUGGAGUGUGCCUUGUGGGUCAGUGUUUGCAGUAAUGCCCUCUGGCAUUGAUCUCUGUGGUACCUCUCCCCAGGUACGAAAAGAAAUGUACCAGGAAGUGGCUGUGAGAGAGAACCCUGCGGACCAUCUGGAGGUAAUCUUGGGAUAUAAAAGGCUGAAUCCUGUAGAAAGGAAUAGCUGGAGGUGGGGAGUAGGGGUGAAAUAGUAAGUCCUUGGUGUUUUCUUCAGCUGCACAUCGAGUUUUCUGAUGAAUCUAUACUGCAACUUGGCCCAUUUCUUUACAUCUGUCUUUUCCUCAGUUCAGGAUCUUUGCUUUUGAGUAUUUGAAGGAACAGAGAGGGGGAUCUGCUGCAAGCUACCAUUCCCACGCAGCAGACCCUCUCUCCACACACUCGUGUGUGUACACACAACAGAGAGAGAGAGAGAGAGAGAGAGAGAGAGAGAGAGAGAAAACCCACAUGCACAUACAUGCACACUUUAUGAACCUGAAGACAAAACCAAUGGGCCAUGCAAACAAGAGCCUUCAGGAGUCUACCAAGAGUCAUGAAACGCUUUCAAAGACCAGGAAGGUUGAUUAAUGAAAAUUACUAAUUUGUUUUCAUUUUUUUUCUAGCAUUUGCAUCAAGUCUCCCUCAUGUUACUCACAGCCAUAUCUAUACAAUCCCCUCAAACGGGUUCAUCUCAAUCUACUCAGAAUUAGAUACAGGCAGUCAUGGGUUCUUUCGUAAUAUUCUUCAUAAAGAUGUAUGGCUCCCCAACCGAAGAGCCUAGACUCCAUCAGCUCCUCAUCCAUUCACCUCCACUAAAACUCUGUUAUCCAAGUGAUCAACAAAGACAGGAGUAUUCUUCACUCAAGCCAAGCUGUCUGUAUACGGGCUUCCUUGGAAGAACCCCGGAGCAAGCCGGAAAGUGAAAGGAUCAUUUGAGUCAACCCAGAAAUGUCAGCUUCUCAUGACUCAGGCUGGAAUAAAGAGGGACAAGAGGUAAGUUUAGAGAGAACACCAGAAGACACUCAGCAUGGCAGGGCAUUACAUGGUGCCACUGAACCAUGCUGCACUAAUCCCAUCAGGAAAGUACCUCAUUCCCAAAAAGGCAUUCUAAGUCAGUUAAUGGUUGACAAUGUUUCCUGAAGAAAUACUAAGUUUCUCAGGAGGUUUGCCUUUGAGAUAAGAUUCCAAGGAUGGAAAGAACACUAGACUGGGAGGCAGAUAGUAGGCUCCUGACACUGUUCCAUACUAUCUCCAACCCCCUUAGAUAAGUCGCCUAAGUCGGCCCAGUGUGAUUUUUCUAUCUUGAAGUUUGUAAUAAUCUCUUCUUUAUUUGCCUCGACCACAAACUUGAUGUAAGAGAAUCCAAUGAAAACACGUCUGAAAGCACUUCAUAAAUCAGGAGCAUGGGCCACAGAAUCUUUAACUUCCAAGAAUACUUUCUUCACGAUAGGAGUGUCGCACUUGCUAAAACACAGGAACCCACGGAGUUCUCUGCACACACUACUUCACACAAGCUCCCAGAGAGGCAUCUAAUUGGUUAGAAAAGCUGUAUCCUAGAGAUGUGGAAGAAUUUAUUAAAGGUCAGGUAACUAACAUGUGUCUUAGUCUCACUUCCUUCCUUCUUCCUUUCCUUCCACCCUUCCUUUCUAUCUCCCUCCCCCCACACACACUUUUUUGAGGUGGGAAAAAUAGUAAAGAUUUGGUUCAGUGAGUUGGAAGCUGUUUCUGUUUUGUUCUAUACUCCAACUCCUUGCUGGUUUUUUUUUUUUGCAUAUUCUCCUCCCCCUCCCCAUCUUUCUCCUCCCCUUCCCAGCCUUUCUCCUCCCUCCCCCUUUUUAAUCCUUUCUAUUCAUCUGUUGAGCCACCAUCCAUUACAGGAGCCAGACUCUCACUUCCCAGCUAUAAGGAAUCACAUCCUAGGGCAUGUACCUAAACUCACCACGAUGUUAGGCCUGAAAAAGGUUCCAACCUCAUUCUUACCCUGGAUUUCUGAGGACCAGCCACCAUCCUGAACUAUCCAGGAGUUGACAAUUAGCUCAACACAGUUCUUCCUACCACUCAGGAAAUUCCAAGGGGUUUUUGAAGCCCAUUGCCUGGAAUAGGGAACAAAAGGAAAAUAAAUAUGUUCUGUCACAGUCUCUCUAGCCCUUCCCUCCUGUGUUACCUCGGUCUCUCUAGCCCUUCCCUACAUUUCUAAAGUUCCCUAUCUACCGGUUCUCUCCCUGUAAUAUUUUUCCUAGUGGUUCAAUAUCUAUUUAUUCUUUUACUUCCUUUGCAGCAAGAGUAGCAUGGGAGAGCAGAAAAGUCUCUUGAAAGUCCCUGUGAUGGUUAAUCUUAAUUAUCAUUUUUGUUGGGUGGAGGCACAUUUACGAAAACGAGAAAAGCACAUGCCUGAGUGCUCUAUCAAAGAAGUUCCUCGGGAGAGCAACUGAUGGUGAAGGUCCUACACUAAAGAUGUAGGUGGGAUGCCCAGGGAAGAUGAAGAAAGCCAGUGACAGCAGGAUGGCACGAGGCACCGUAGUUCCUAGUGGCGUGGCCCCAUUUCAUCUGUGCCCUGUUGAGGAUUAAGAUGCUUCCUGCUCAUGCUGCUGACGUACAUCCACGAUUAUCCUGCUAAAUCUCCCGAAGUACCAACUGGGAAACAAAUGGGAAUUGUUCGCUUAGGAGACUUUCAUUUGACUGUGUGAUUGUUGGCUCCUUCGACAUCAGCCCAAAGACAACAAACGUGGAAGGAGGGACCUCUACAGAGAACCAAUCAAGAGGGUCUGUAGGUCCAGGUCCUCAGACCCUCAGCUGACCACCACAAGUUCUUCACAGAGCUAGAGCUAGGGAAGGAGAGGCAGGCACCCAAGAGAGGAGAUGGUCUUGGGUAGAGAAGCCUCAAUAUUAGGUCAGCUGCACAUAAAGUUAGAGUGGAGGCUGUUGAAGGGAUCCGAUUUCUUGGCACAUGCACACUGGAGAAAAGCCUGCUACAGGGUCCUGAAAAGGCCUGAGUUUAGUGUGCACACAUCCAGCAAUGUGGAAUGGCAAAGUCUAGCUCUCGUCUGGUUCCCUCCACCAUUCCGAGCAUCAGUUUCCUUUCAACACUGACCUCCAAGCUUGUCUCACUGUAUUUUCUCGGAGAAUGAUUUCUUGGGACUUCAAGAGGAGAAAGGUGAGCAAAUGGGGGACUAACACCGGCCCCAGGCAGUUCUCUGUCCAGCUGUGAGGACAGUCCUGAGCUCACGCUCUGAGAGCCACCUGAGGCCAAGUCCACAGCUCUGAACCUCAGAGAGAAGCUCUGAGAUUCACCCUCUCCCUCACUCAUAGGCUGUUUUCUCAUGACAGAGGUCCUCAAUUCCAGGAUGCCAGCCUUUUCCCUUGCUCAUGAAUUGGCUUAGCCAUUGGAAAAGCAAUUCAAAGUGUUUGUUAAAGGAGAUCCUGUGUUUUCACAAAUAUUCAGCUUCUCAACCUCCACAAGUGUUUAAAACUUUGAUGUGUAUGUGUGUGAGUGGGUGCAGAUGUGUGUGGGGGUGGGUGGGUGCAGAUGUGUGUGUGUGUGGGGGGUGCACAUGCCACACAGCAUGCCAGUGGAGGGCACAGUUACUGCUUGCAGAAGUUGGUUUCCCCCUUUAUGGUAUAGAUCCCAGGGGUCUGACUCAGACAGCCAAUGUCUUUGCUCAUUGAGCCAUCUUGUCGGCUCUUUACU